AUUAUUUUUUUUUAUACAAAAAGCAAAAAACGAACUAAAGAAAAAAAAAAAAAAAUUUAAUUUGGACCAUUUGAAACAUUUGAAACAACGGUGCUCAGGGUCAGCGACUGCGCUCGUACACAGAGGCGGCUGAUAUCACCAUAUGUUACACGGCUCGACAAUCGUCUGACAAUCACGUUUCCUGGAGUGACAUGGAUGCCACAAGAUAUGAAAAGACAUCGGAAAUUAAAAACUAUUCGCAAUCCAAUAGUGGCACACUUUUGGUCGAUUAAUGAAGAGCGUAUGAAGUAUGAAGUCAUUGCAUUAUUUACUCUAUAUUUUGAUACUAAAAAUGAUUAUAUUUUGAUACUACAAAUU
rnacentral:sRNA from 1 species